AAAGGUGUUUAAACUAAAUUCAUAAACAAAUAAUAUUAGUCCACGUAAAACAAGCUUCAAAAUAAAAGACAAACAAUAUAUCAAAGCUUGUAAGUAAAGGUUAGCCAAUAUAUCCAAACAAUAUAAUUAAGACUCGAAAAGAGGAAAAUUAAGAAAUAUUGGACUCCUAAUUUGCGAGGCUCCAAGCGUUGCGAUGAUCCUAAUUUGCUGUUGGCCUAAUACUUUAGGCCAAUAACGAGUUCCAAAGUAGAAACUCCAGCCCUCCGGUUGUACAUGAAACAUAAUAAAAGAGAUAAGAGGAUUAGAAUACAUAAAUUAUGAAAUGAAGCAUAAAAUGAUUGUAGCAUAUAAAAAUGAUUAUCAAAUCUUGAUCCAGUUAAUUUGAUCAAAAUCUCCACUCCUGAGCGUGCAAAACAAACGUUUGAGGGGGUGGGAUAUAUGACACAACGCACACUCUUUAGUCGAUCCUAAAAUGUAUACAUGAACACAAUCUAUUCAACCUAAAAAAUAAAUAGCUUAACCGAAUCCUAAAAAACGAGAUAAGGAAUAAGAAAAUACCAUAUUUUGACUACGUAGCUUUAAGAUUAAAAUAUGAAUUCAAACUAAAGAAGUAAAGCUUCAUAUACAUAGAAACUCUCCAACUAGAUUAUUUUAUUUUAUUUUAAUAUGGUUUAAUCAAAGAACAAAUGUUUUUUCUUUUUAAAGAGGAUUUGAAUAUAACAAGAGUAUACUGACUUGGUGGUAACUUGAAGGUUAUUAACAUUAAUCUCAUUGCAAACCAACAAUAGAAAAUGAUCAAAGCCAAACUUAAACAAAGAAAAUCUGAAGUUAUGUUAAAUAAGAAUGAAAAAAAAUGAAUUGGUUGCAAUCUAAAAAUAAUAAAAACUAUGCAUUCUGAUUCAUCUUAUUUUGCACACAUGAGAGAAUAAUUUGCAUGAUCAAACGUAUUUUAAAUUCAAGGAGAUUGUUUUCUUCUAAUAGUGUAUGAA
rnacentral:lncRNA from 1 species